rnacentral:rRNA from 1 species
GUUGCCAACCAUACUAGCCUGAACGCGCCCACACUCAUCUGAUCUCAGAAGCCAAGCAGGGUUGUCCCUGGGUACCGCUUGGACGGGAAAGCAAAGUGAUGGGCACUU